AUUGAACGCUGGCGGCAGGCCUAACACAUGCAAGUCGAACGAGUGGCGGACGGGUGAGUAAUGUCUGGGAAACUGCCUGAUGGAGGGGGAUAACUACUGGAAACGGUAGCUAAUACCGCAUACCAUCGGAUGUGCCCAGAUGGGAUUAGCUAGUAGUUGGGGUAAAGGCUCACCUAGGCCACGAUCCCUAGCUGGUCUGAGAGGAUGACCAGCCAAACUGGAACUGAGAACAGGUCCAGACUCAGACGGGGGGCAGCAGUGGGGAAUAUGGCACAAUGGGCGCAAGCCAGAUGCAGCCAUGCCGCGUGUAUGAAGAAGGCCUUCGGGUUGUAAAGUACUUUCAGCGAGGAGGCGUUACCCGCAGAAGAAGCACCGGCUAACUCCGUGCCAGCAGCCGCGGUAGUAC
rnacentral:rRNA from 1 species